UUUUUAAAAAAAUCCAAUGCAUAAUGCAUCAUCCACCCCCUUCCCUCAACACCCCUUUGUGACUCAUUCAGAAUCAGAAAAGCAAAGCUUCAAAGUUCAAAAAUUUGAGUUCUAAAUUUUAACAAAAAAUUAGGGUUCUGCCGGCGCUGUCCGUUGUGGUCGGCGCCUCUGCGGCCUCCUCCUUCCCCAUGUCCUGAACCCAGCCCCUCUCUUGUAGUUCGGCACAUCGUCCCCAUCCUCCCGUGGCUUCUCUGGUUGAGGGUUGGAGCUGCUCGCUGUCGUGUCGCCGUCACGCUCACAUAGAGGAAGAAUCAUCACAAGCGUCGUUGUUUCCUCCUUCUCUCAGUCAAGAUGUCAUGUGCUUCUCAGGUGCACCGCUGUCUGCUUCUCAGCCGUUCUACUCUCCGCGGUCCUUGUCGUCCGCGACCCUCAGUCACGCUGCAUCCUCUAUCUUAGGGUUUGUAGCUUUCUUCUUUUAAUUUCUUUGUAUGUUUUGGUAAUUUUUGAUGUGUUAAAUUUAUUUCUCUAUUUGGUUCUGCUAUGCUGCUGUUUUGUAUGUGUUUCGAUUUUAUUAUUUUAAUUUACUGAUUAUUGAUUAUUGAAUGUAAUGUGAUUAUUGAUUAACUUUGGUUUUUCUAUGUUGCUGUUUUGUGUGUUAUUAUGUUGUUGAUUGUUCUAGAUUUUUGAAUGUGAAAUCAUUGAUUUUGUGUUGUUAUGCUGUUGCUGCUACUUUUUUUUUUGUUACUAAUUAUUCUUGAUUUCUAAAUGUGAAAUUAUUGAUUUUGUGUUGUUAUGUUGCUAUUGCUGUUUUUUUAGAGUGAUUAUUAUCUGUUACUGUUUUUUAAUUUUUGUUGUUGAUUGUUCUUAACCUUAAAGUUUGUGAAGUUGCUGAGGACUUAAAACUUGACUAUUUGGUAAUGGAUAGCAUAGGCUUGGGUGCCAUUCAGAGGGUAUUGCCGGAGAGUGUUAUAAAUUAUGUAACUACAAAAUACAAAUGCAAUUUGUCCUGUAACAAUUGUCAAAGACUUUGUUCCUUUUACCGUUUAAUCAUGUUGUUGCCCUCUAUUGAUAGUAUUUUUAGUUCUUAUAAAUAAAUAAGCUUUGUGUUGAACUGUACAUACAUGAUUCAGUGUAUCUAGUUGGAAUCAGAAUUUUGAUGCUAGAA